CAGUAGCCACGGGAAAACGUAGGUGGCAAGCGUUGUCCGGAAUUAUUGGGCGUAAAGCGCGCGCAGGCGGAUCGGUCAGUCUGUCUUAAAAGUUCGGGGCUUAACCCCGUGAUGGGAUGGAAACUGCCAACCUAGAGUAUCGGAGAGGAAAGUGGAAUUCCUAGUGUAGCGGUGAAAUGCGUAGAUAUUAGGAAGAACACCAGUGGCGAAGGCGACUUUCUGGACGAAAACUGACGCUGAGGCGCGAAAGCCAGGGGAGCGAACGGGAUUAGAUACCCCGGUAGUCCCUGUCUCUUAUACA
rnacentral:rRNA from 1 species